GCAGCAGCCAACGGUCAACUGUACGAUAGCCCAACCAUCUCCGACCGCGACAUUUAACCAGUAACCGGCGCUGCCGUACUGACCUGCUGAGGUUUCCAGCAGGGGUCCAAACCACGGCCCUCAUCUUGUUGCCCUUCCGUACGAGGAAUCGGUACCCGGUGCCCGCGCUACCCGGGCCGUCGAGGCGAGACGCCGGAAUCGCCGCCGGCAGACAGCCUUCCCCAGCGCCGCCGCCGCCGCCCCUGCCGCUGCCGCCACCUUCGGACGCGUCGCCACCAGCACCCAGGUCGUGCCCGCUGCCGCUCCCGCUUCCCGCUGCGACGUUUGGAUCUAAGCCACCACCAGCAGCACCACCAGCACCACCAGCACCAGCACCACCGCCCUCAGCAGCGGCGGCGGCAUCAGCAACAGCCGCAGCCGCCUG
rnacentral:lncRNA from 1 species